rnacentral:rRNA from 1 species
GGAGCAUGUGGUUUAAUUUGAAGCAACGCGAAGAACCUUACCAGGUCUUGACAUCCCGUUGACCACUGUAGAGAUAUAGUUUUCCCUUCGGGGGCAACGGUGACAGGUGGUGCAUGGUUGUCGUCAGCUCGUGUCGUGAGAUGUUGGGUUAAGUCCCGCAACGAGCGCAACCCUUGAUUUUAGUUGCCAUCAUUUAGUUGGGCACUCUAAGGUGACUGCCGGUGACAAACCGGAGGAAGGUGGGGAUGACGUCAAAUCAUCAUGCCCCUUAUGACCUGGGCUACACACGUGCUACAAUGGACGAUACAAACGGUUGCCAACUCGCGAGAGGGAGCUAAUCCGAUAAAGUCGUUCUCAGUUCGGAUUGUAGGCUGCAACUCGCCUACAUGAAGCCGGAAUCGCUAGUAAUCGCGGAUCAGCAUGCCGC